GUGGUGCCCUCUUAAGUAACCUCUUUGCUUUUCUUGUGAGAGUUGGGAAGAGCCUAUCUCUGACUCAUUCUGUCAGAUCUUUCUCGUAUUUGUCACGUUGCCCCACGAUUAGACUUUCAAACUUGACUGCUGCCUUCUAUAAACUAUCCUUACCUACAUUGCUUGGGAUUAAAGAUUCAUACUAAUGACAUUUAUAUAUUCCAGCCAGAGGGAUUAAAGGUAUGUGUUAAGGAUAAACCACACUACAACUAGAAACAGGUGUUUUUCAGUAGAUAACACAAUCUCGGGGUUCACAGUGUGAUCAAAUAUCCUGCAACAGCACUCCUCAGCACCUAAAAGUGUAUCCACCACACAACCGGUUCCCUUCUGGGAUGCAGUGUUGUAAAGGCAGGGCCCUGUCUGUCUUUUACCCUAAAGGAGCAAGUGCCAUAGGACAAGCUCUACCACACGUUUUAAGUUCCUUGGGCACUUCUUUGCCGUCAGAGUUUUCUCGUUCUUCCCAUAUCUGCUUGCUCACUGUCCUUUCUGUUGUCUCAGUCGUUUGCGUUGUUUUGAGAUGGCCAGGAACCACGUGUGGGUCCUCUGGAAGAGCAGUGUCCAAGCAGAAGCGUUCACUGGCCCUGACACCAGCUUCUAUGCAGCCCUGGGCCUGAAAGCUCUUCAGGCUUCACACUCUGCUUUUUGUCCUCGUGCCUGCUCAUUCCCUGUCAGGAACCUUGCCUCAGGAAUGUCGCUUGUGUGACAGUACAUUUAUUUCUGCUUCUGUUUGCUUUUGUUGUUGUAUUUCCUAUCUUUAUCCAUUAUGAUCACAGGCAGCUUUGUCUUUAAUUUUGCUUUCUACACACACUGUGCACAUCUCACUUUGCCAUUUCAUGCACGAAUCUGUCCUGUUGUGGGACAUAACACAUGCUGUCAGUUUCUGUGGUCCUGCAGGCUCCUUUCCAUCUUACAGAUCUGUUUGUUGUCCCUGAUCCCAAGGGUCUAAAGUUUCAUAGCAGAGACAGUCACUUUGAAAAUCUUAAGAAUUUCCUUGUUCUGUGGCAGUUUCCUUACAGGUUGCGUUCUGUCCUCUACUGCGCCUGCGAACCCUCCCUUCCCCUCCCUCUCUCCUUCCCUGCUCACCUCCCUUCCUUCCCUCUUGUAUUUGGUGAGUAGUAGCUGACUGAUUUGGGGUUUGUCUCUAGCUGUUACGUUCGUCAGCCACAUAGCUAUGUCAUUCCCUGUCAUCUGAGUCACACUGAGUCCACACACUGCCUGUUAGAGAGGGCGGGUAGCUCAUUUGUGGAUUCCAUCAGUAUUUAUUGAGUAAUUGUUCCAUGCCAGGUGCACAGCAGAGAAGAAUUCCUUCCUGGGAGCACUGUGGUGGGAGGAAGAGGAGGGAAAGGAGGAGGGGAAGGGGGAGGGGGAGGUAACAAACAAAACAAUGGAGGGCCAAAGGGAAGAAGAAAGGACUGGGUGGGGACAGAGCUGAUGCUCAGCUGCCAUUUUAGACAGCAUUCAGAAAAGACCUCAUUGAUGGUGCCAGACAAAAACUGAAAGAGAAGCCUGCAGAGCCUGAGGAGAGUCCCGGGUGGCUUAUACGCUUUGGUGGAGAGUGAGAGGCACAGAAGAACCAGGUGUAUGGGUGCUUGGAUAUACUUUUACAUCUUAUAUUGCUCACUAUGUUCGGCAUGUGUGCAGAGGUCAGAGGUCAAGGCAGCUUUAUGGAGAUGGUUCUUUCUAUAUGCCUUGAUGUAGGGUCUGGGGACUGAACUGGGACUAUCAGGGUUACACAGCAAUCACCUUUACCCACUGAGCCAUCUUGCCGGCUCCCUUGUAUAUAUUUUAACUUUUACUUGAAUGGUGAUUAGAAGUCAUGGGAAGGUAGAGGAGGGACAGGCUUUGACCUUUUCACAUAUCACUUGAGCUAUUACAUUGAACAUACAGUACCGAGGGUAUGGGCACAAACAGGGACUCCAGGAGGAUGCCAUGGUAAGAGUCUAGGCAGGAGAGGAUGACGAAGUAGACAGAAGCUGAGGACAUGAUUCAGAACAGCAGACAGGAUCUGGGUACUCCCUGAAAGUGGGGGGAACAGUGUGGGUGUCCAAAGCUGUGGAAGACUGGGAUUGCUGAAAAGGGGGACUUGAUAACAAUCCAGGGGAGCAUGGUUUGCCUCUGGUGUCGCAGCUGCAUGGAGCUUUUGAGGAGAUGUGGCUUCACAGUUGUGCUCAUAGACACGUGAACUUCAGAGCAGACAAGAGUACUUGAGCAGUAGUCAGAGCUGAAGAUGCAGGCUUUAGUAGCAUUGGUAUACCCGAGAGAUGCAAAGCAGAGAGACUGAAUGUGUUCAGUCUGAGUGGAGAAGAGGAAACAGAGGGCUGUUUUGACACAUGGGUCUCAGGAUUGGGGCACUUAUAAAGGAGGCAGGGAGUGCAGAGGAGUGCAGAGAGGUGGGGUGCUGAGGAUUCUGUAUGUUGAAAGAAGGGACGUUGCCAUGGAUGUGGGACAAUGUCUAGAUGGU
rnacentral:lncRNA from 1 species